rnacentral:rRNA from 1 species
AGCGAAAGCGAGUCUGAAUAGGGCGUUGAGUAUUUGGUCGUAGACCCGAAACCAGGUGAUCUACCCAUGGUCAGGUUGAAGUUCAGGUAACACUGAAUGGAGGACCGAACCGACUUACGUUGAAAAGUGAGCGGAUGAACUGUGGGUAGCGGAGAAAUUCCAAUCGAACUUGGAGAUAGCUGGUUCUCUCCGAAAUAGCUUUAGGGCUAGCCUCAAGUGAUGAUUAUUGGAGGUAGAGCACUGUUUGGACGAGGGGCCCCUCUCGGGUUACCGAAUUCAGACAAACUCCGAAUGCCAAUUAAUUUAACUUGGGAGUCAGAACAUGGGUGAUAAGGUCCGUGUUCGAAAGGGAAACAGCCCAGACCACCAGCUAAGGUCCCAAAAUAUAUGUUAAGUGGAAAAGGAUGUGGCGUUGCCCAGACAACUAGGAUGUUGGCUUAGAAGCAGCCAUCAUUUAAAGAGUGCGUAAUAGCUCACUAGUCGAGUGACACUGCGCCGAAAAUGUACCGGGGCUAAACAUAUUACCGAAGCUGUGGAUUGUCCGUAGGACAAUGGUAGGAGAGCGUUCUAAGGGCGUUGAAGCAUGAUCGCAAGGACAUGUGGAGCGCUUAGAAGUGAGAAUGCCGGUGUGAGUAGCGAAAGACGGGUGAGAAUCCCGUCCACCGAUUGACUAAGGUUUCCAGAGGAAGGCUCGUCCGCUCUGGGUUAGUCGGGUCCUAAGCUGAGGCCGACAGGCGUAGGCGAUGGAUAACAGGUUGAUAUUCCUGUACCACCUAGCAUCGUUUUAAUCGAUGGGGGGACGCAGUAGGAUAGGCGAAGCGUACGAUUGGAUUGUACGUCUAAGCAGUGAGAUUGAGUGUUAGGCAAAUCCGGCACUCUUAAGAUUGAGCUGUGAUGGGGAGAGGAAAUUGUUUCCUCGAGUCGUUGAUUUCACACUGCCGAGAAAAGCCUCUAGAUAGAUAAUAGGUGCCCGUACCGCAAACCGACACAGGUAGUCAAGAUGAGAAUUCUAAGGUGAGCGAGCGAACUCUCGUUAAGGAACUCGGCAAAAUGACCCCGUAACUUCGGGAGAAGGGGUGCUCUUUAGGGUGCAAGCCCAGAAGAGCCGCAGUGAAUAGGCCCAAGCGACUGUUUAUCAAAAACACAGGUCUCUGCUAAACCGUAAGGUGAUGUAUAGGGGCUGACGCCUGCCCGGUGCUGGAAGGUUAAGAGGAGUGGUUAGCUUCUGCGAAGCUACGAAUCGAAGCCCCAGUAAACGGCGGCCGUAACUAUAACGGUCCUAAGGUAGCGAAAUUCCUUGUCGGGUAAGUUCCGACCCGCACGAAAGGCGUAACGAUUUGGGCACUGUCUCAACGAGAGACUCGGUGAAAUCAUAGUACCUGUGAAGAUGCAGGUUACCCGCGACAGGACGGAAAGACCCCGUGGAGCUUUACUGUAGCCUGAUAUUGAAAUUCGGCACAGCUUGUACAGGAUAGGUAGGAGCCUUUGAAACGUGAGCGCUAGCUUACGUGGAGGCGCUGGUGGGAUACUACCCUAGCUGUGUUGGCUUUCUAACCCGCACCACUUAUCGUGGUGGGAGACAGUGUCAGGCGGGCAGUUUGACUGGGGCGGUCGCCUCCUAAAAGGUAACGGAGGCGCUCAAAGGUUCCCUCAGAAUGGUUGGAAAUCAUUCAUAGAGUGUAAAGGCAUAAGGGAGCUUGACUGCGAGACCUACAAGUCGAGCAGGGUCGAAAGACGGACUUAGUGAUCCGGUGGUUCCGCAUGGAAGGGCCAUCGCUCAACGGAUAAAAGCUACCCCGGGGAUAACAGGCUUAUCUCCCCCAAGAGUUCACAUCGACGGGGAGGUUUGGCACCUCGAUGUCGGCUCAUCGCAUCCUGGGGCUGUAGUCGGUCCCAAGGGUUGGGCUGUUCGCCCAUUAAAGCGGUACGCGAGCUGGGUUCAGAACGUCGUGAGACAGUUCGGUCCCUAUCCGUCGUGGGCGUAGGAAAUUUGAGAGGAGCUGUCCUUAGUACGAGAGGACCGGGAUGGACAUACCUCUGGUGUACCAGUUGUCGUGCCAACGGCAUAGCUGGGUAGCUAUGUAUGGACGGGAUAAGUGCUGAAAGCAUCUAAGCAUGAAGCCCCCCUCAAGAUGAGAUUUCCCAACUUCGGUUAUAAGAUCCCUCAAAGAUGAUGAGGUUAAUAGGUUCGAGGUGGAAGCGUGGUGACACGUGGAGCUGACGAAUACUAAUCGAUCGAAGACUUAAUCAAUUU